rnacentral:rRNA from 1 species
UACGUAGGUGGCGAGCGUUAUCCGGAUUUAUUGGGUUUAAAGGGUGCGUAGGCGGCUGAUUAAGUCAGCGGUGAAAGGUAGCAGCUUAACUGUUUUACAUGCCGUUGAUACUGGUUAGCUUGAGUUGACAGAAGGCAGAUAGAAUUUCUGGUGUAGCGGUGAAAUGCUUAGAUACCAGGAGGAAUACCGAUUGCGAAGGCAGUCUGCUGCAGUCACACUGACGCUGAGGCACGAAAGUGCGGGGAUCAAACAGGAUUAGAUACCCGGGUAGU